GAGCAAACAGGAUUAGAUACCCUGGUAGUCCACGCCGUAAACGAUGAGUGCUAGGUGUUAGGGGUUUCGAUGCCCUUAGUGCCGCAGUUAACACAUUAAGCACUCCGCCUGGGGAGUACGGCCGCAAGGCUGAAACUCAAAGGAAUUGACGGGGGCCCGCACAAGCAGUGGAGCAUGUGGUUUAAUUCGAAGCAACGCGAAGAACCUUACCAGGGCUUGACAUCCCGCUGACCGGUAUAGAGAUAUGCCAUUACCUUCGGGUACAGCGGAGACAGGUGGUGCAUGGUUGCCGUCAGCUCGUGUCGUGAGAUGUUGGGUUAAGUCCCGCAACGAGCGCAACCCU
rnacentral:rRNA from 1 species